rfam:Trichuris suis scaffold107.15, whole genome shotgun sequence.
GGCUCCAUAGCUCAGUUGGUUAGAGCGCCAGUCUAGUAAACUGGAGGUCGCGAGUUCAACUCUCGCUGGAGCCU